rnacentral:rRNA from 1 species
AUUGAAUGCUGGCGGCAGGCCUAACACAUGCAAGUCGAGCGUGCGGCGGACGGGUGAGAAUUGUCUGUGAAACUGCUGGCCUGAGGGGGGUAACUACUGGAAACGGCAGCUACUACCGCAUACCAUCAGCUUUGCCCAGAUGGGUUUAGCUAGUCGGUGGGGUAACGGCUCACCUAGGCGACGAGCCCUAGCUGGUCUGCGAGGAUGACCAGACACACGGGAUCUGAGACACGGUCCAGAGUCCUACGAGAGGCAGCAGUGGGGAAUAUUGCACAAUGGGCGCAAGCCUGAUGCAGCCAUGCGGCGUGGGUGAAGAAGGCCUUCGGGUUGUAAAGCACUUUCAGCGGGGAGGCGUUACCCGCAGAAGAAGCACCGGCUAACUCCGUGCCAGCAGCCGCGGUAAUAC